UACGUAGGGUGCAAGCGUUGUCCGGAAUUAUUGGGCGUAAAGCGCGCGUAGGCGGCUUUGCAAGUCGGGUGUGAAAUCCCUCGGCUUAACCGGGGAACUGCGUCUGAUACUGGAUGGCUUGAGUUUGGGAGAGGGAUGCGGAAUUCCAGGUGUAGCGGUGAAAUGCGUAGAUAUCUGGAGGAACACCGGUGGCGAAGGCGGCAUCCUGGACCAACACUGACGCUGAGUGAGCGAAAGCCAGGGGAGCAAACGGG
rnacentral:rRNA from 1 species